CUAAGAAUAUUCCGCAAUGGACGGAAGUCUGACGGAGCGACGCCGCGUGGAUGACGAAGGCCGAAAGGUUGUAAAGUUCUUUUGCUGGGGAAGAAUAACCGCAGGAGGGAAUGCCUGUGGGAUGACAAGAACCGGCGAAUAAGCCCCGGCCAACUACGUGCCAGCAGCCGCGGUAACACGUAGGGGGCGAGCGUUGUUCGGAAUUACUGGGCGUAAAGGGCAUGUAGGCGGCUUGGAAAGCCUGGCGUGAAAGUCUGCAGCUUAACUGCAGGGGUGCGCUGGGAACUGCUGAGCUUGAGUGACGGAGAGGGAGCUGGAAUUCCUGGUGUAGGGGUGAAAUCUGUAGAUAUCAGGAAGAACACCGAUGGCGAAGGCAAGCUCCUGGCCGAUGACUGACGCUGAGGUGCGAAAGUGUGGGGAUCAAAACAGGAUUAGAUACCCUGGUAGUCCACACAGUCAACGAUGUGCACUAGGUGCUGGGGCGGUAGCUUCGGUGCCGGAGCGAACGUGGUAAGUGCACCGCCUGGGGAGUAUGCUCGCAAGGGUGAAACUUAAAUGAAUUGACGGGGUCAUAGC
rnacentral:rRNA from 1 species